rfam:Ovis aries breed Texel chromosome 3, whole genome shotgun sequence.
UCCCUGGUGGUCCAGUGGCUAAGACUCUGCUCUCCCAAUGCAAGGGGUCCAGGUUAGAUCCCUGGUCAGGGAA